rnacentral:rRNA from 1 species
UACAGAGGUCCCGAGCGUUGUUCGGAUUCACUGGGCGUAAAGGGUGCGUAGGUGGUGGGGUAAGUCGGAUGUGAAAGCUCGGAGCUUAACUCCGAAAUGGCAUUGGAAACUGCCCUGCUAGAGGGUCGGAGGGGGGACUGGAAUUCUCGGUGUAGCAGUGAAAUGCGUAGAUAUCGAGAGGAACACCCGUGGCGAAGGCGAGUCCCUGGACGACACCUGACACUGAGGCACGAAAGCUAGGGGAGCAAACAGG